rnacentral:rRNA from 1 species
AUUGAACGCUGGCGGCAGGCCUAACACAUGCAAGUCGAGCGGAUGAAGAGAGCUUGCUCUCUGAUUCAGCGGCGGACGGGUGAGUAAUGCCUAGGAAUCUGCCUGGUAGUGGGGGACAACGUUUCGAAAGGAACGCUAAUACCGCAUACGUCCUACGGGAGAAAGUGGGGGAUCUUCGGACCUCACGCUAUCAGAUGAGCCUAGGUACGAUUAGCUAGUUGGUGAGGUAAAGGCUCACCAAGGCGACGAUCGUUAACUGGUCUGAGAGGAUGAUCAGUCACACUGGAACUGAGACACGGUCCAGACUCCUACGGGAGGCAGCAGUGGGGAAUAUUGGACAAUGGGCGAAAGCCUGAUCCAGCCAUGCCGCGUGUGUGAAGAAGGUCUUCGGAUUGUAAAGCACUUUAAGUUGGGAGGAAGGGCAGUAAGUUAAUACCUUGUUGUUUGACGUUACCGACAGAAUAAGCACCGGCUAACUUCGUGCCAGCCGCCGCUGUAAAAC